rnacentral:rRNA from 1 species
GAUGAACGCUGGCGGCGUGCCUAAUACAUGCAAGUCGAGCGAACGGACGAGAAGCUUGCUUCUCUGAUGUUAGCGGCGGACGGGUGAGUAACACGUGGAUAACCUACCUAUAAGACUGGGAUAACUUCGGGAAACCGGAGCUAAUACCGGAUAAUAUUUUGAACCGCAUGGUUCAAAAGUGAAAGACGGUCUUGCUGUCACUUAUAGAUGGAUCCGCGCUGCAUUAGCUAGUUGGUAAGGUAACGGCUUACCAAGGCAACGAUGCAUAGCCGACCUGAGAGGGUGAUCGGCCACUCUGGAGCUGAGACACGGUCCAGACUCCGACGGGAGGCAGCAGUAGGGACUCUUCCGCAAUGGGCGAAAGCCUGACGGAGCAACGCCGCGUGAGUGAUGAAGGUCUUCGGAUCGUAAAACUCUGUUAUUAGGGAAGAACAUAUGUGUAAGUAACUGUGCACAUCUUGACGUUACCUAAUCAGAAAGCCACGGCUAACUACUU